ACACCAGAUACCGACCGACGUGCAUAUAA
rnacentral:sRNA from 1 species